GGCUUUGCACUGUGUGAAUUUCAGACAGCGCUCCCCCGGCUUGCCCUGUCCCCUGCCUUUGCGAUGUGUCUGUGUGUGUUCCACUCUGACGGUCGCCAUUCCAUUUUCCGUUUUUUCAUGCGAAUCAUGGCAAUUUGACCAUCGCCGGCUGAUGUCUAAAAAAUUGCCUAAGUGGGACAGGCCGAUUAGCUUACAAUUUUUAAAUUGAUCUUUAGCCCA